CGAUAUAUGCGUGUUAGGGUCUUGCAUCAUGAACAUUUCUCUAUUUUCUUUCACUCUCCCUUCUCUUUCUUCUUCUCUCUUGUUUCACGCAGUGUCAACCAUUGGCUGUUAGGGCAGACACGUUAUAUGCGUGUUAGGGCAGAUACGAUUCUCUUUCUCUGUUUUCUUCCACUCUCUCUUCUCUUUCUUCUUCUCUCUGCGGGCAGACACGUUAUAUGUGUGUUAGGGUAGAUACGAUUCUCUUGUCUCUGUUUUCUUUUACUCUCCCUUCUCUUUCUUCUUCUCUCUGCAUGCAGACACGUUAUAUGCGUGUUAGGGCAAGGCUGAAACUUCUUCCUACCGCUAUCUAUACCCACUCGCCUUCAUUUUCCCAUACUUUCUACAUUGCCAAGCACGUACAGAACAUUUAAGAACACUCCACCCAACAACUUUUCCGGGAAAAGUUCUCCUUGAAAAUCCUUCAAGUUCGUUCCUAUAGAAUGUAGUUCAUGCAUUUAGCCUUUGUCUUCUGUUAUUUUGAUCAUGCAAACUAACUUAGCAUGCACAAUAUGGAGAUACACAAACACAGAAUUUGGCAUUAUGCUUUUAAACUUGCAAGCUAAGUAACAUUUGAGAGUUCUCGAAGGAGUAGCAAUGUUUUCCAGCGAAAAUGGUAGCAGAAAGUGAGGACGACUUCGAAAUCGGAUGAUAUAACUCAAGAAUCUCAAGAGUAAUCCAAUUUUAACCUUGUCUUUUCAUUUUCCCUUUAAAUUGUUAUCUUCACUCGUCUAUACAACAUUAAUCAGAUCAAUGAAUAUGUAUUGUAUACUGUCAAUGAAGAUAUAAUCUAUAUACAUGUAGGUAUGUGUAUCUGAUAGGUCUGCAACUGUUUCUAUAUCUCCAGUUAUCAGCGAGAAUCAAUUCAAGUGUCUCAUUUGUUUUCCCAGUCACAAGAAAUGAGCUGAAUGCACUGAUUUCAUCUUCAACCUCUGGUUUUUCUUUUCAAAAUAUCUGCUGAACGCACUGGCAAAAACUUUUUCAAAAUCAACCUCUGGGGAUGAGGAUCCCACGUUAUCAGCCGAAUCUGAUCUAUCUUCCCGAUGCUUCAAAUUUCCAUCACAUACUCUGACUUCAAAUUGCUUCAUUUGACUAUGUAAUUAUGAGGAACGGUGAUGGAUUCUCAUCAAGGUUUGGUCAAGAAGAUGGGAGAUUGAUUUAAAAUACUGUCAGAUAGAACUGAUUAAAGACAACAAUUUCCAUUUAUUUCGGCAGAAUAUCAUUGGGGCAGAGGAAGUAACGGGACACUCAGCUCCUGCGAGCAUCCUGGUCACGGCGGAGCAAGUGAGAUUCGAGAGACCAGAGGAAGAGGUUGUGCAGCGAAAGGCUGAAAGCAGAAAGCCACUUCGGCGUACUGUUCCGACGCGGAGAGAGGCAAGCUUUUCGGUAAGUCCCUUCUUUUACCAGUUCAUAAAUCCAGAAGUCGAAACAAAUCACCCUUUGGAUUUAGUAUUUGUGACGAACAGGUUAUGGUGUAUGUAUUUGCAGCUCAUGGAGAAGAAACACCGUCACACCACGAUCCAACAUCAUCAUCCGCAACCGAUAAGGUAAGAUCAAUUUAACAUUCUUAACCCGGAUAUGAAAUUUGUGCAUCUAAAUCCAUACGGUAGAUACUGUAGUUAGAGCGUAGGUUUAAUGCUUCCUCAUCAUGGUGAGUUUUACGUAAGUUUGCGACAUGGAUGCACUGUACCUGUAAGGCAUACCAGUGGGCGGUUGGGACCUGAAAGAAACCCCAGGGUGUUGAAGAUGGGCUGAAAACCACACCCUGAAUGGGCUAAACCCGAUGCUAAGAUCCUUAGCUAAGUCUAAAUGGGCUAUAAAUUUACGUAAAUAAACGAAAGACUCUUCACUAAAUUGUGAAAAAGAUUCCUGCGAGAUUCUGAUAAAGAAAAUUGAAGAAAUGAUAAAGAAUAUUGAGUCACUCACAUCUUCAUAUUGUUUGAUUCAUAGAGUCCCUGACAAUCUUCGUAAACUAAAUGAAGAAGCCUACACUCCUAUGGCGGUGUACAUUAGCCAUUUUUCGCCAUGGCGAGAAGAAAGAGUUUAAGCCAUUGAAAAUGUUAAGUUGAAAUAUUUGGAGAAAAUCUAUCAACGAACUAAAAUCAUCAUACAGAAACUUGUCAAUGCUGUAAAACAGAGAGAAGAUAGAAUCUGCAGUUGUUGUAAAUAAAUCAUUAACAGAAGUAGUAACGGGUUAGCCAAGAUCAUUCUCGUCGAUGUUGUAUUUAUCAUUGUUUGCAUUGUCCAAGCAUAUUACGGCAUUGAAGGCAGACAUGGUAGUUUUCUUGAGAGAAAUUUUUUAUUUUUCACUAUUUUGUUUCACGAUUUAAUUUUAAUGGAGAAUCAAUUUUUCUUCUUUUUCGUUAAAAACCUCUACGACUUAAUCUUUCGAUCUCACCCAAAUCACAACCUCUUUAUGUUUCUAGAAAUUGUGUUUGUUCUUUGAAUACUUCAACUGUUAGAAAGUAAUCAUCGGAAGAAAGUAGAGCAUUUCACUGAUAUGAUAAUAGUAUUUACUACACUGUUAUUCACAAAUUUGUCUUUAAAGAAAGGAAAAACUACAAGCAGAAACCUUCAUAAUAUGGCACUGUUAUGGAAGGCAAAUGUGAGAAUUGAGAUAAGUCCUGGCACAAACUUACUGGAUACAAAGUUUUUAAAUAACAAACAAAUAAUUUCUAUAAACUGAAAGAGGCUAUUAUUUGGGAGAGAUAGAAAGAUCAAGUUAUAAAAAGUCUUGAAGAACAAAUAAAGGAUGUUUAUUCUCCAGUAAAAUCAAAUUAUCAAUCAAAACAUGAGAAAAUUAAAAAUUUCUCUAAAACAAACUAGCAUGCCUGCCUUAAGUGCCAUAAUAUGCUUGGACAGUGCAGACAAUGACAAAUACAACAUCGACAAGAAUGAUCUUAGUCAACCCGUUGGUGCUUAUGUUACUGGUUUUUGCAUAGCAACUGCGGAUUCUAUUUUCUCUUUGUUUUACAGCAGUGACAGGUUCUCGGAUUCUUUGUUCUCGAAGACUUUUAUAAUUUAAUUUUUUUAUCUCUUCGAAAUCACAACUUCAUUCAGUUUCUAAAAAUUGUUUGUUUGUUUUUUAAAUACUUCAACUCCCAAAGAAUAAUCAUCGAAAGAGAAGUAAAGCACUUCACCGAUAUAAUAUGGACAUUUCCCACAUUAUCAUUCCCAAGUUUGUCUUUAAAGAAAGGAAAAACCAUGAGUAAAAACCUUUACAGCAUGACAGAGUUACAAGAGGCAGGGGUGAAGAUUGAGUUGAAUCCUAAAACAAACUUGCUGGAUAUAAAGUUUGAUGAAGGAGUGCUCAAAAUUCCUCAUAUUCAAUUAGAAAACAUUACGAAAUCUUUAAUUCAAAACCUAAUGACUUUGGAGAAGUGUUACAAUCAAGAAAACAUGUAUAUCUGCGAUUAUAUGUUGCUGAUGGAUGAGUUGAUCAAGACUGUCAGAGAUGUUGAUUUACUUGUUGAGAAGAUAAAGUGGCUCACCAGUUAUUAUAUUUAACAAACGAUGUCUUAGUGUUACUUUCAACAAGUACACCUUCUAUACUAAGUUGUGAAGAGAUUUAAAGACAUGCUAUGAUCAACCUUAGCAUAGUUAAAAAGCGAUCUUGAAACAUGAGUAUUUCAAAAAUCUUUUUAGAUGUGUUUUCACCGUUGCCGCUGGGGUAUUAUUGGCUCUAACUUUCAUUCAAACUAUGUGUGCUAUCAUAAAAAAUAAAAAGAUAUUUUAUUUUACGAUGUUAGCACACACAAUUUGAAUAAAAUCUAUAACCAGCAAUACCUCAGCUGCAAUGGUGAAAGCACCUUUCUAAGAAGUCCUGAAAUACUCAUGUUUCAGGAUCGCCUCCAACCAUGUUAANNNNNNNNNNNNNNNNNNAUAAUUACAAACUUACAUGUUUUUUUGAUAGUGACACUAGUCCAAAACCAUUAGAUUUUAAAUUAAAGAUUAUAUAAUGUUUUCUAAUCGAAAACUAAAAAAUUUUGAGCACUCUUUUACAAAACUUUAUAUUCAAUGAGUGUGUCAGUACUUACCUUGAUCUUCACCCUUGCCUUCCAUCUCUUUCAUGCUGUGAAGGUUUUUUUGCUCAUGGUUUUUCCUUUCUUUAAAAACAAACUUGAGAAUUUUAGUGUAAUAAUGCUCAUACUAUAUCGAUGAAAUGCAUUAUUAUCUAGGAGUUGAAAUACUUAAAAAACAAAAACAAUUUUUAAAACUGAGAGAGGUUGUAAUUUGAGCGAGAUAGAAAGAUUAAGUUAUAGAAGAUUCGAGGACAAAGAAGGGAAGUUGAUUCUUGAGUAGAAUCAAAUCAUGAAACAAAUCAGGGGGCAGUCAAAGCUUUAUCUCAAGAUAGCUAUCAUGUCUGUCUUUAGUAUCGUAAUAUACUUAAACAAUGCGAGCAAUGACGAAUAUAACAUCGACUAGAACGAUCUUGGUCAACCCAUUAUUUAUUCUGUUAAUGGCUUUUGCAUAGCAAUCGUUGACUCUAUAUUCUCUAUGUUUUACAUCAUCGACAAAUUCUCGAGUGGUGAUUUUGGUUCAUUGACGGACUUUCUCCACACAUCUCAACUUAAAAUUUUCCAUGAGUUGAAGCUCUUUCUUCUCACCAUAGUGAAAAUUGCCAACGGACACCACCAUAGAAGUGUAGGCUUCUUCAUUCAAAGUGCAAAAAUUGUUAGGGACUAAAUAUGGAACAAUCAUUGCGAUGUGGGUGGCUCCAGAUUUUUUUAUCAUUUCUUUAAUGUCCUUGAUAAGAACCUCGCAGGAAUCUCCUUCACAAUUCGACGAAGCACCCUGCAUUGAUCUACUUAAACUUGUAUCAUAAGAUAUAUAAACCAAAUGUGAGAUCAAUAGAUGAAAUACCGUAUCAAACGAAAUAUAGGUAGGAGGAAAUAACUUAUCCACAUAGCAAGAUCCAAUAUUUAACUUCUGUUCUUGUGCGAACGAUGAAGUGAAACCCUCUUUGUAGAGAUCUUCGUCUUUCAUAUCAAGAUGGAAAGGAAACAGAUCAUCCAUAUGCUAUGGAGUCAAGAAUUUCAACCAUGGCGAUUUCACCUGCAAUAAACCAUCGUUUUAAUGAAUCUAUGAGUUAUAUUUUCCUUUAAAUAUUACUAAAAUUUAAUACGGAUAACAAGAAUUUGUCAUUGUAGUCCCUCAAUCUAACAUUCAUAUUCCCUCAAAGGAAGUAUCAACUAAAAGUUCACAAAGCAGAAUUUUCCAUCUUUAAUAUAUUAAGUAGCUACAUAAUGUACGAAAUACUAAAUCAAUGGAAAUAGAUGACACUACAAAUCUGAUCACUUUUUCACAAUUACUUAUUUUUCCUAUUGGUUUUGAGUCAAUCUUGAUACCCUGUUCUAGAAUUGAUAAGAGUGGUAAGAGCUACAAAAUGCUUGGUAAGAAAAUUCAUGAGUCCCUACAUACUGAACUGAAUGAAAAUACAUAUAACUUCCCCUACACUAUAUAACAUUAGUGUGUUAUAGUCCCUUAUGGUUCGAUAUUUAUAGAUUCCAAUCACAAAUCCAUUUCUAUAUACUGACAGUUAAACUUUUACAAUUCAUCGCAUGAUGCCGUUUUAACUUCUAUCUCAAUGGAUAAGAAAUUCACAAUAGUCACAUACAAAUCAUGCAAAAAUGGAUGCCACAUAAUCCAGAAAGAAAAUAAUUAUCCACGAGAUAAGUUCCACUGUCAGAUCGACCGGAUAUUUCAGACAUUCACACACCUUCUCCUCCUUGAUAUAAGGUCAAACGGUUUAUAAUUGUUACAACAAUUUAUUAUCUUUUCUGCUUUGUUCCUGAUGCAUUCUUAACUUGGUUCAGAAAAUUUAUUAGAAGAAUUAUAUUGCUACUGUAUAUUUUCUUCCGUUGUGAAUUAUUUUCUUUCAUCUUAUUUGCAGUAAACAUUUUUCUUUCUUACAAUUAAAAACCUUAUUAACAUUGAGAAGGCGGGAUUAGCAUAGAAGAAGACUACCUGCCGUCGCGGCGGUGUUCGCGACGUACGAAAGGAGGCUCGGUCUACCUUCUGCUUUCACUUUUCUCUCCGUAAUUCGAAUUAGGGUUUUUUUCUUUCGAAGCCCGAAGGGAGGUUCGGUCUACAUUGAUUUGCAUUAAAAUGCGGUAGGCGGGACUCACAUAGAAGAAGACUACCUCCCGUCGCGGCGGCUCUAUCUAUCUUCCGCUUCUGCUUCCUCUUCUCUCUCUCUGUAAUUCGAAGUAGGGUGCUUUUUUUUUUCGAAGCCCCUCCCCAAUAUAUAGCGGCCAUGAUGCAAUUCUAGCCGUCGAUUUGAGGAGGGUAAAUCUAGCCGUUGAUCUUUCGUUUUAUCCCCCCCCCCCCAACAUCCGAUCUCCUAUGUCACGUCCACGUGGCGAAAUCUCGCCCGUCCGUAAAGUGCCAGCAUCGUCUGACAUCUUUUCCAUUGCGUGUGCCUUCCUGAUUGGUCAGGAGCCAGAGACUUUUCCAAUUUUGCAGUUUUGCCCCCCAACCGCACGGUUUCCUUCCAGAUUCACCCUUGGCGACUAUUUUAAUUUUAUUCUUAUUUUAAAUUAAUUUCCUAUUUAUUUUAAGCUUAUUUAUUUACACGACUGCCUUAAAUAAGAAUUUCUAAAUAAUUAAAUAACGUUAAGUAAUUAAUUAUUAUAUAAAAUUACUGAAAAACUUUCAAGAAAUUAUUACAAAAGCACCCAUUAAAAAUACAGGGUUAAAAUCAUCCAAACAACUCGUAAGUAACACCACUAUAUAUAAACGCGUAGUGCCUUUCUGAACCCACCGAACAGAGACAGACGGACGGACAGAGCCAAACACGGCAAAAACGCCAUGAACAAUUUGGGUAUAUAGCAAGUUCUUGAAAAACUGAAGUUCGUAUACAUACACAUCUCCAGAAACUACAGCAGCCGCGUACGAGCCACCUGUGAAACUAAACAUACAGUGAUAUGCAAUCACCUGUUAACCCAUUACACCAAAACAAAUGGGGCCAAAACUUCCAACACAAAUGCCCAGCACCGUUCUGUACAUGAUAUCUAUAGAAAAACAGCUUAGGGCAACUAUUACACCAUACAUGCCUGCGUCAUGAAUAUUUUUCAUCCUCCUUGUUUGUUUGUAUAUAUAUAUAUAUAUGACGCCAUAUGGUCCUAUUACCAAAGUCGACCCUGUCGCAGAUAUUUUCAAUUUUUCAUUAUUCGAGCUCUAUACUUCACCUGGGAUAUUACCUUGCAGGAGUCGUUACUAAGCUCUGGAGGAGACAAAUGAAGAUGAGGUAUGCGAAAAGGAAGUCUUCGAUAUAUGUACCUACAUAAUCUCUGUCCGGCCUUCAAUCAAGCAAUUAGUUGGUUCCAUGUCAACCUCGUAUGAUGAUAAUAGCCUUCUCUGCAGCACCAGAGAAUGAAGCAUAGAUAAGGGUGGGCGCAAGUGGAAUCUAUAGAUGUCUAGAUGAAAUAAUAACGAUCUUCACGACAUGAUAAUGAUAGAACCACCGCAGCUGAUUUUCCUAAUUCUAGUGAUAUUGAUAUCACAAUGAAUCGAUUGAGAGAAAAUUGACUUCAUCAUGAUUAAAGGAAAUUAACUAAAAAUUCAAAAAAGAACUUGAAUUUAGUCGAAGGAGCACUCACAUGAUCCUCAAAAUCAGGGCUGGUCAAAUUAAUGGAGAGAUUUCGCAUCAACAAUAGCACCUAAAAAUGUAAGGAAAGGUUAGUAAUCGCAUGAUAAUAUGAUAAAAAAUACACAACAUUACAUAUGAUUCAACCAAUUCACAAGACUUUGAUAUAGAACAUACUGUUUCAACAUCUAUUGGAUCCAUCUUCUUAAGUUUCUGCAAGUGACCAGUAGUAUUUGGAUCAAAGACACUGCCAAUGAAGCUGUAAACUUGAGCAAAGUCUGGCAGCACUGCAACAAAAAAAAAGGCAGUUAUUAACCAUCAAUAACAAGUUAGUGGAACAAAUAAACCACAAAUGAUUAAAAAAAAAAAUAAGCGUUGACAAAAAUUUGGGGAUCUCGCCUCUUAAUGGAUGACCAUGAUUCCCUUGCUCAGUCAUUUCACCAGUCAAUCGUGGUCUCCUAGUACUCUCCGUACUACUGCAAGAGUUAUUUGCAAUUCGUGUCCCUGCAAAGCAAAUGUCAAAUGACUAAUGCUAGAAAUCAGGUCAUGGUCAUCAUUACCAAUCUGAUAUCAGUGAUGGUUAGGAACCUUUUGGCAGGGGUGACAAGCUGACAGUUUGCACAUUGUUUGUCCAGGAAGACGCAGCAGGACUGGUAGCAGGAUCCAUCAACAUUGUUGAGGAAUCCGGCCUGAGAAUGAAUCCAGGUUCAAGAGCAGAUGAUUGAAAGGCACCUGAAACUUGUGUCUGCACUGUAGCUGUGAUAUCCAAUACGUCAAUACAAUAUUAUUGUUUUUGCAGUGUAACAACUGCAACUACUUUAGAAAAAAAAAAAAAAACAAAGAAAAAUAAACAUGCUC
rnacentral:lncRNA from 1 species